GGCACGGUGGUGCAAUGCUUAGCACUGCUGCCUUACAGCAAGAAGGCCGUGGGUUCGAACCCAGCCUGAGGCC